rnacentral:rRNA from 1 species
UACGAAGGGGGCUAGCGUUGCUCGGAAUCACUGGGCGUAAAGGGUGCGUAGGCGGGUCUUUUAAGUCAGGGGUGAAAUCCUGGAGCUCAACUCCAGAACUGCCUUUGAUACUGAAGAUCUUGAGUUCGGGAGAGGUGAGUGGAACUGCGAGUGUAGAGGUGAAAUUCGUAGAUAUUCGCAAGAACACCGGUGGCGAAGGCGGCUCUCUGGACCGAGACUGACGCUGAGGCGCGAAAGCGUGGGGAGCAAACAGGG